rnacentral:rRNA from 1 species
GACGUGAGUGGCGAGCGUUAUCCGGAAUUACUGGGCGUAAAGCGCGCGUAGGCGGUUAUGUAAGUCAGAGGUGAAAAGUCAGGGCUUAACCUUGGCCUUGCCUUUGAAACUACAUGACUAGAGUACUGGAUAGGAGGGCGGAACUACAAGUGUAGCGGUGGAAUGCGUAGAUAUUUUUAGGAAUGCCGAUGACGAAGGUAGCUCUCUGGACAGAUACUGACGCUGAGGUGCGAAAGCUAGGGGAGCAAACAGG